AGGUGAGGUAAGGUAAGGUGAGGUAAGGUGAGGUAAGGUAAGGUCAGUUUUAAGUCGGCCAAGGUUACGCUAGGUUGGGUUCCGCUAAGCUGGGCUACGCUAUGUUAGGCAAGGUAACAAUAGCACAUAGUAGAUACGCUAUAUUUGGGAAGACAAGAACUGGGGAAGAAAAUGAAGAGUAAAAGAAAAAAAUAAGGAUAAAGGAUAUGAAGAAGGAAAACAGAAGAAGAAAAAGAAUGAGGUUAGGGUUAGGCUAGGUUAAGCUAGGUUAGGGCUAGGAUAGGGAUUAGGUUAAGCUAGGUUAGGUUAGGGCUAGGAUAGGGAUUAGGUUAAGCUAGGUUAGGUUAGGGCUAGGAUAGGGAUUAGGUUAAGCUAGGUUAGGUUAGGGCUAGGAUAGGGAUUAGGUUAAGCUAGGUUAGGUUAGGGCUAGGAUAGGGAUUAGGUUAAGCUAGGUUAGGUUAGGGCUAGGAUAGGGAUUAGGUUAAGCUAGGUUAGGUUAGGGCUAGGAUAGGGAUUAGGUUAAGCUAGGUUAGGUUAGGCUAAGUUAGGGUUAGGAUAGGGAUUAGGUUAAGCUAGGUUAGGUUAGGGCUAGGAUAGGGAUUAGGUUAAGCUAGGUUAGGGCUAGGAUUGGGAUUAGGUUAAGCUAGGUUAGGGCUAGGAUAGGAUAGGCUAGGUUAAGUUAAGCUGGAAUAGGUAAGACUAGAUUAGGCUAGGCUAGGUUAGAUAAGGGCUAAGAUAGGUUAAGCUAGAUUAGGAUAGACUAGGUUAGGGCUAGGAUAGAUUAAGCUAGGUUAGGGCUAAGAUAGGGAUUAGAUUAGGCUAGGUUAGGGCUAGGAUAGAUUAAGCUAGGUUAGGGCUAGGAUAGGUUAAGCUAGAUUAAGUUAGACUAGAUUAGGGCUAGGAUAGGUUAAGCUAUAUUAGGUUAGGCUAGGUUAAGUUAAGCUAUAUUAGGUUAGGCUAGGUUAAGUUAAGCUAUAUUAGGUUAGGCUAGGUUAAGUUAAGCUAUAUUAGGUUAGGCUAGGUUAGAACACAAUCAGUUAAACAAAGCAAGAAUCUAGAACUCUCUCUCUCUCUCUCUCUCUCUCUCUCCAGUAGCUUUAUUUCCCUUACCUAAGCGACGAUUUACUCAUUUUAUUUUUUUCCUCCUCUUAUUUUUCUUUCCUUGCUAAUUGGAAAUCCACAAGCCUUACAUAAUGAGAGAGAGAGAGAGAGAGAGAGAGAGAGAGAGAGAGAGAGAG